AAAUGCGUUGAGGAUGGGGAAGGAACCCCCAUUGGGGAAGGCGACCUUUUUGUCCUGUAACUGAACGCUGAGGAACGGAAAGCGUGGGGAGCGAACAGGAUUAGAUACCCUGGUAGUCCACGCCGUAAACGAUGAGUGCUAAGUGUUAGGGGGUUUCCGCCCCUUAGUGCUGCAGCUAACGCAUUAAGCACUCCGCCUGGGGAGUACGGUCGCAAGACUGAAACUCAAAGGAAUUGACGGGGGCCCGCACAAGCGGUGGAGCAUGUGGUUUAAUUCGAAGCAACGCGAAGAACCUUACCAGGUCUUGACAUCCUCUGACAAUCCUAGAGAUAGGACGUCCCCUUCGGGGGCAGAGUGACAGGUGGUGCAUGGUUGUCGUCAGCUCGUGUCGUGAGAUGUUGGGUUAAGUCCCGCAACGAGCGCAACCCUUGAUCUUAGUUGCCAGCAUUCAGUUGGGCACUCUAAGGUGACUGCCGGUGACAAACCGGAGGAAGGUGGGGAUGACGUCAAAUCAUCAUGCCCCUUAUGACCUGGGCUACACACGUGCUACAAUGGACAGAACAAAGGGCAGCGAAACCGCGAGGUUAAGCCAAUCCCACAAAUCUGUUCUCAGUUCGG
rnacentral:rRNA from 1 species